CCAACAGGGAUUGCCUCAGUAACGGCGAGUGAAGCGGCAACAGCUCAAAUUUGAAAGCUGGCUCUUUUAGGGCCCGCAUUGUAAUUUGUAGAGGAUGCUUCAGGUGCGGCGCUGGUCUAAGUUCUUUGGAACAAGACGUCAUAGAGGGUGAGAAUCCCGUAUGUGACUAGCUGCCUGUGCCUGUGUGAAGCUCCUUCGACGAGUCGAGUUGUUUGGGAAUGCAGCUCAAAAUGGGUGGUGUACUUCAUCUAAAGCUAAAUAUUGGCCAGAGACCGAUAGCGCACAAGUAGAGUGAUCGAAAGAUGAAAAGCACUUUGGAAAGAGAGUUAAACAGUACGUGAAAUUGUUGAAAGGGAAGCGCUUGCAAUCAGACUUGUGCGGCGUCGAUCAACCUGGGUUCUCCCUGGUGCACUCGGCGCUGCUCAGGCCAGCAUCAGUUUCGGCGGUUGGAUAAAGGCCUAGGGAACGUGGGUUACUUCGGUGACUGUUAUAGCCCUAGGUGCAAUGCAGCCUGCUGGGACUGAGGACCGCGCUUCGGCUAGGAUGCUGGCGUAAUGGUUGUAAGCGACCCGUCUUGAAACACGGACCAAGGAGUCUAACAUCUAUGCGAGUUUUUGGGUGUUAAACCCAUAAGCGUAAUGAAAGUGAACGGAGGUGAGAACCCUUCAGGGUGCAUCAUCGACCGAUCCUGAUGUCUUCGGAUGGAUUUGAGUAAGAGCAUAGCUGUUGGGACCCGAAAGAUGAUGAUCUAUACCUGAAUAGGGUGAAGCCAGAGGAAACUCUGGUGGAGGCUCGCAGCGGUUCUGACGUGCAAAUCGAUCGUCAAAUUUGGGUAUAGGGGCGAAAGACUAAUCGAA
rnacentral:rRNA from 1 species